rnacentral:rRNA from 1 species
GAUGAACGCUAGCUACAGGCUUAACACAUGCAAGUCGAGGGGAAACGGCAUUAAGUGCUUGCACUUUUUGGACGUCGACCGGCGCACGGGUGAGUAACGCGUAUCCAACCUUCCCAUGACUAAGGGAUAACCUGCCGAAAGGCAGACUAAUACCUUAUGGUCUUCACUGACGGCAUCAGAUGUGAAGUAAAGAUUUAUCGGUUAUGGAUGGGGAUGCGUCUGAUUAGCUUGUUGGCGGGGUAACGGCCCGCCAAGGCAACGAUCAGUAGGGGUUCUGAGAGGAAGGUCCCCCACAUUGGAACUGAGACACGGUCCAAACUCCUACGGGAGGCAGCAGUGAGGAAUAUUGGUCAAUGGGCGAGAGCCUGAACCAGCCAAGUAGCGUGCAGGAUGACGGCCCUAUGGGUUGUAAACUGCUUUUGUAUGGGGAUAAAGUCAGUCACGUGUGAUUGUUUGCAGGUACCAUACGAAUAAGGACCGGCUAAUUCCGUGCCAGCAGCCGCGGUAAUACGGAAGGUCCGGGCGUUAUCCGGAUUUAUUGGGUUUAAAGGGAGCGUAGGCUGGAGAUUAAGUGUGUUGUGAAAUGUAGACGCUCAACGUCUGACUUGCAGCGCAUACUGGUUUCCUUGAGUACGCACAACGUUGGCGGAAUUCGUCGUGUAGCGGUGAAAUGCUUAGAUAUGACGAAGAACUCCGAUUGCGAAGGCAGCUGACGGGAGCGCAACUGACGCUGAAGCUCGAAGGUGCGGGUAUCGAACAGG